UACGGAGGGGACUAGCGUUGUUCGGAAUUACUGGGCGUAAAGCGCACGUAGGCGGAUUUGUAAGUCAGGGGUGAAAUCCCGGGGCUCAACUUCGGAACUGCCUUUGAUACUGCGAAUCUCGAGUCCGGAAGAGGUGAGUGGAAUUCCUAGUGUAGAGGUGAAAUUCGUAGAUAUUAGGAAGAACACCAGUGGCGAAGGCGGCUCACUGGUCCGGUACUGACGCUGAGGUGCGAAAGCGUGGGGAGCAAACAGG
rnacentral:rRNA from 1 species